rnacentral:sRNA from 1 species
AAGGCGACGGGAUCGACGGCGCGGGUGCAGACGAGGUAGUCGCGCAUGGCGAUGGCGUGCCGGUUCUC